UGGGGGAUGGGACGGGGGGGGGGCAGGCAGGGCUUACGUGCAGGGGGCCUCUGUGCCUGGCCCCUGCAGGUCGAGGGAGAGUCCCAGGCCUGACCCUGGCCCCAUCCUCCAGGUCCGGAGCGCUCUGCAGAGGAUGACUGAGAAGAAGGCAGCGGAGGCCUUCCCGGUGGGCAGGCGCGGGCGGAGGGGCGGGGGGCCCUCCCCAUAGCCGGGGUCCUGGCACUGAUUCUCUUUCCUUUCAGGCUUGCUCCAGUCCCGUGGGCCCAGGAUUCCACCCUGGGCCCUCAGGCCCCUGGGAGAUGGCCCGGGACAACCCUGUGGUCUUGGCUCCCCCCCGAAGACACCUGGCUCUUAGAGGAACUCACAGCCCCAGAAACCCCACAACCUUCUCCUCCAUUGCAGAACCCGAGAGACCGGUGAGGCCGGGGAAGGGCAAGGCUCUGCCAAGGGGCUAGGAAGUGUGACCAGCAGGGUUGGGGAAACCACAGGGAACAGGGUGGAGCUGGGCUGGGGGCUUCCCCUGGGGGCCCAGGUGGCCUCGUUUCUCAGUUCCCAGGCAGAAGGGUGUGGGAACAGCCGGGAAGAGCUGACCCCGUGCUGGCAGACCCCGAGUCCCAAGGCCCCUGGGGUGGAGGAGUCGUCCCCAAGACAGCCAAGGGGUCCCAGGGCCAGGGGCGCGGAAGGCGUGGCGGCCACCCCACUGAUGGACCCCCCUCUGUCCUCAGGCUGUGGAGCUGACAGCAUUCAAGCCUUCAGGUACAGCUCUCACCCCAGGGGCUCCCUCUUUUCCUCUCAGCACCCGGAUACCCCCUCAGCCCCAAUGUCCCAAAAUGGAAAUUAUUUGAGAAAAAAAUGCACCCAACCUGCCACAAUUUGAGGGGCUCUUCCUAUCACUCGGCUCCUUGUUGGUGCCUGAAAAUCCCCCAUCAGCACCCUGUGGGCGCUGACAGUGAAAAUGCAGGGAUCAGGGGGAGAGGCUUAGUGAGGGAGGAAGUCUGGGACCCCCCCCCCAGGCCAGUGCUGCCAGAGAGGCAGCGAGCGAGGAGCCUGCCUCCCUCCACGCACC
rnacentral:lncRNA from 1 species